UACGUAGGUGGCAAGCGUUGUCCGGAUUUACUGGGCGUAAAGAGCGCGCAGGCGGUCGUUCAAGUCGCGUGUGAAAGCCCCGGGCUCAACCUGGGAAUUGCAUUUGAGACUGAAUAGCUAGGGUGCGGAAGAGGGAAGCGGAAUUUCCGGUGUAGCGGUGAAAUGCGUAGAUAUCGGAAGGAACACCAGUGGCGAAAGCGGCUUCCUGGUCCAGCACCGACGUCAGGCACGAAGCGUGGGGAGCAAACAGGA
rnacentral:rRNA from 1 species